UACACUGACACCCUCUCACCCUGUCAUAAACACCCUGUCUCCAGGGUAAUUUUUUUCCUUAGGUAUAAUGGAGAUUGUCAGUUCUUCAGGCUCCUUUCUCUCCAGCUUUCUCAUCUUCCUCUUGCUUGAGAAACAUACAUUGGCUUCAGGGAGGAGUAUUUACUUCUCUCUGGCUCCCAAGGGGUUAUCAAGUGGGUUAUCAGUAGAGCAAUUUUCCGUGAUUGGACCUACAGAACCCAUCCGGGCCUGGGUAGGAAGAACGGCAGACCUACCAUGUUACCUGUCUCCCCAGAAAAAUGCUCAAUCCAUGAAGGUGAUUUGGUUCCAAUCUCUGGAAAUAGUGCAUCACUAUGAAGAUGGGCAGGAUAAGUUUGACAAUCAAAGCCCUAAAUUCCAAGGGAGGACAGAGCUGGUGAAAGAUGCCAUCAGUAGAGGAAAUGUCACCCUGAGGAUAUGGAACAUUACAGCCGCGGACAAAGGACACUACAAAUGCCAUUUUGAUGAUGGUUUGUAUCAAGAAGAAGCUGGUAUAGAACUACUUGUCUCAGUCCUAGGAGAGAAGCGAAUUUCCUGCUGGGUGAGGACACAGUGCACAAGACAACAGUUGUGUGCAGUAGUUACACAGCACAGCUCAGUGAAACUUAAGAGGGUAUUUUUUUUUCCUUAGGUAUAAUGGAGAUUGUCAGUUCUUCAGGCUCCUUUCUCUCCAGCCUUCUCAUCAUUCACUUGCUUGAGACACAUACAUUGGCUUCAGAGCAAUUUUCCGUGAUUGGACCUACAGAACGCAUCCGGGCCUGGGUAGGAAGAACGGCAGACCUACCAUGUUACCUGUCUCCCCAGAAAAAUGCUCAAGCCAUGAAGGUGAUUUGGUUCCAGUCUCUAGAAAUAGUGCAUCACUAUGAAGAUGGGCAGGAUAAGUUUGACGAUCAAAGCCCUAAAUUCCAAGGGAGGACAGAGCUGGUGAAAGAUGCCAUCACUAGAGGAAAUGUCACCCUGAGGAUAUGGAACAUUACAGCCUCAGACCAAGGACACUACAAAUGCCAUUUUGAUGAUGGUUUGUAUCAAGAAGAAGCUGGUUUUGAACUAUUUGUCUCAGGUGAGGAGUCAGAAGUGAUGUUCCUGGGAUUGGGGACUUCAAUAUGAAGAAUUGGGAGGGUAUUUUUUCCAUCUGAAUAAUGACAAGUUGAGGGUGGUUGUCAGAGGAGGCAGGGAAACUUGGGUCCUGAAAUAUAGAAAACAUGACAGGAAAUUUAAAACAGCUUAGCAAUACUUGUCUCAGAGGUAAACAAGGAAAAAGGAAAUAAGCAAGGGGAAAUAAAGAAAGAGAAAAAGAAAGAUGAGAGGGGACACUGGUAAUGUAAGAGAGAAAUCAAAGAGGGAAAAUAUAGAGGAAGAACCUAUAUCUUUCAAGCUUAUCCACAACUCUAAUUUGAGAUACUUGAGGUUUGCUAAAAUCAUGAGCUUUGCUAAAAAUGUAGGAAAACUCUAUCUACAGAAUUUCCCUCCAUCUACUAGCCUAAUAAUCCUAUCAAAAAAGGAAAUGGUGUCUGUCUGGCAUUACUUGUUCAAUGAAUCCAUACCUGCUCUUGGUAAUCAUUUUCUCCCUUUUUUAAAUGUUCACCAACAAUCUCUUUCAUUUCUAGAAUUUUCCCAACAAAAUCAAGUUCAUUGGCCUAUAAUUUUCAGACUCUUCUUUUCCCUUUUUGAACAUCACACUUGUCUUCCUCCAAUCUUACAGUAUACUUUCCUUUUUCCUGUGAUCUUUCAAAUAUCAGUUUCAAAGAUUCAGGAAUUGUAUCUG